GAUGAAGAACGCAGCGAAAUGCGAUAAGUAAUGUGAAUUGCAGAAUUCAGUGAAUCAUCGAAUCUUUGAACGCACCUUGCGCCCUUUGGCAUUCCGAAGGGCAUGCCUGUCCGAGCGUCAUUGCUGCCCUCAAGCACGGCUUGUGUGUUGGGCCUCCGUCCUCCUCCCGGGGGACGGGCCCGAAAGGCAGCGGCGGCACCGCGUCCGGUCCUCGAGCGUAUGGGGCUUCGUCACCCGCUCUUGUAGGCCCGGCCGGCGCUUGCCGACACAUCAAUCUUUUUUCCAGGUUGACCUCGGAUCAGGUAGGGAUACCCGCUGAACUUAAGCAUAUCAAUAAGCGGAGGA
rnacentral:misc_RNA from 1 species